rnacentral:rRNA from 1 species
AGAGUUUGAUCCUGGCUCAGGAUGAACGCUGGCGGCGUGCUUAACACAUGCAAGUCGAACGAUCCUUCGGGAUAGUGGCGGACGGGUGAGUAACGCGUGGGAAUCUGCCCUCAGGAGGGGGAUAACGGCUGGAAACGGCCGCUAAUACCCCAUAUGCCGAGAGGUGAAAUGAAUUUCGCCUGAGGAUGAGCCCGCGUCUGAUUAGCUAGUUGGUGGGGUAAUGGCCUACCAAGGCAACGAUCAGUAGCUGGUCUGAGAGGAUGAUCAGCCACACUGGGACUGAGACACGGCCCAGACUCCUACGGGAGGCAGCAGUGGGGAAUUUUCCGCAAUGGGCGAAAGCCUGACGGAGCAACGCCGCGUGAGGGAUGAAGGCCUCUGGGCUGUAAACCUCUUUUCUCAAGGAAGAAGACCUGACGGUACUUGAGGAAUAAGCCACGGCUAAUUCCGUGCCAGCAGCCGCGGUAAUACGGGAGUGGCAAGCGUUAUCCGGAAUUAUUGGGCGUAAAGCGUCCGCAGGCGGCCUUGUAAGUCUGUUGUUAAAGCGUGGAGCUCAACUCCAUUUAAGCAAUGGAAACUACAAGGCUGGAGUGUGGUAGGGGCAGAGGGAGUUCCCGGUGUAGCGGUGAAAUGCGUAGAUAUCGGGAAGAACACCAGUGGCGAAGGCGCUCUGCUGGGCCAUAACUGACGCUCAUGGACGAAAGCCAGGGGAGCGAAAGGGAUUAGAUACCCCUGUAGUCCUGGCCGUAAACGAUGAACACUAGGUGUCGGGGGAAUCGACCCCCUCGGUGUCGUAGCCAACGCGUUAAGUGUUCCGCCUGGGGAGUACGCACGCAAGUGUGAAACUCAAAGGAAUUGACGGGGGCCCGCACAAGCGGUGGAGUAUGUGGUUUAAUUCGAUGCAACGCGAAGAACCUUACCAGGGUUUGACAUCCUGCGAACCCCUGAGAAAUCGGGGGGUGCCUUCGGGAGCGCAGAGACAGGUGGUGCAUGGCUGUCGUCAGCUCGUGUCGUGAGAUGUUGGGUUAAGUCCCGCAACGAGCGCAACCCACGUCUUUAGUUGCCAGCAUUCAGUUGGGCACUCUAGAGAGACCGCCGGUGAUAAACCGGAGGAAGGUGUGGAUGACGUCAAGUCAUCAUGCCCCUUACAUCCUGGGCUACACACGUACUACAAUGCUACGGACAAAGGGCAGCAAGCUCGCGAGAGUUAGCAAAUCCCAUAAACCGUGGCUCAGUUCAGAUCGUAGGCUGCAACUCGCCUACGUGAAGGAGGAAUCGCUAGUAAUCGCAGGUCAGCAUACUGCGGUGAAUACGUUCCCGAGCCUUGUAC